GUACCAGCGUCCGUCUGGGAAGCAGUUGACAGCAGUCAAGCGCAGGCCGAAGUGGGUAAACAAAACAAACAUAUAAAAAAAGAGCCAAAACAACUCUAAGUUUGAUCUAAUUUUAUAUCUGUAGAAUGCGUAACAUUGUUCUAAAGCAGUUUGAAGCCCGUUAAUGUAGUAGAAAGUCGUUAGCAAAGAGAGGGCGUGCACCUGUCAAAGAUAAAUAGGUUAACGCAGCUAACGUGUGCUAGCACGUUAGCAAGCUAGCUGGCUCGUUGAACGCGCUCAGGUUAGCUAGCUUGCUAGCCAGCCAUGUCGUCCCCCUCCUCCUCGUCCAGGCGCCAGUGGUGCUACCUGUGCGACCUGCCGAAGAUGCCGUGGACUGUGGUGUGGGACUUCAGCGAGGUGGUGUGUCGUGGCUGUGUAAACUACGAGGGAGCUAAUCAGAUUGAAUUCCUGAUAGCGAGCGCCCGACAACUGAAACGAACUCACGGGAUGCAGGACGGUAACGUCAGGUCACCUGGUCCCUCUCCUAAUAAACACGGCACAUCUGGCAGAGGAGAGGCGGCGGCAGACGGAGGCAGGCCGCAUACCGACCGCUUUGACAAAGGUGGAAGAGGAGAAAGUACCGGGUCAACUAUUCGUGUGCCGCCGAACGGGUUACACCGUGACGGCCAGCCGCCUCAAGAAGUGAACCGCCAGAGCCCCAGCGGCAACCGGAGACCCAUGCUAGGUGCAGCCAUCCCCCCUAGUCUAGUAACUCAAGGUAUUGCAGGGAUUCCCCAUGGGCUACUUGCGGGCAUGCCGGCCGGUCUGACCGCCAGGACAGCCCCCAUGGGCAACCCUAUGAUCUUCCCUGCCCCGGUGCUGGCCGAGAUGAGCCGCAGACAGCUGGGUAUAGGGAUGGGGAUAGCCCCUUUUAUCACUCCAGAGCUGGAGCGAGAGCUCAGCUCGUCCCAGAACCAGCCCAAGAUACAGACGCAGGUCCACACUGCUGUGGCUGGCAGCAGCGGCAGCAAAAGUACAGGCCUCCCUUCUUCAUCCUCGGCUGGAGGUGUAAGCCAGACGAGCCCCAAGCCUGCCUCAUCUCCAGCCAGACAGCCACGCCCCCUAGCAGCGAGGUCUGGCGGGGAGCCCCUGGGAUCCAGCACCUCAGCAGAGGCGGCCACAACUGCUGCAGCAUUACCCCACAGUGGUGCCUCUGAGCUGGGAUCAGCAUCUGCCGCCAACACCCAUUCAACCGGAAACACUCUGUCCUGCACCUUGUGUCAUGAGAGGCUGGAAGACACACACUUUGUUCAGUGUCCAUCAAUACCAGGACAUAGGUUCUGCUUCCCGUGCACCAGAGUGUACAUCCAGAGCCGGCGAGGUGAUGGGGAGGUGUACUGCCCCAGCGGAGAUCGCUGUCCGUUGGAUAACUCUCCCAAUAGUCCCCCUUGGGCCUUCAUGCAGGGAGAGGUCUCCACCAUACUGGGCACUGCUGGAGCAGGAGCUGCAUCGGCUGCUGCAUCUGGAGCUGGGACCGGGCCUGGAGCUGCGGGUGCGUCUGGGGCCGGGAGUGGAUCUGCCAGUGGAGCUGGAGCUGGAAGUGGAGAUGUCACCGUCAAGAAAGAGAGAGAGACGUGAUUUUCAUGGAAACCAGGACCCAACACAGCAACAGGCAGGUCCACAGACAUCUGACCACCCCUAGUCUGAAGUCUGGCAGCAGUUUGCAUUACUUGUAUCGUACACCAGAAGGAGACAGUGCACUGGACCGCUGAGAGAUCCAGAAGAGCAGCAACACAGCGACUCACAGUUCAGAAAAUCACCAUUACACAGGUCUUAACUCCACCUACUCACCCCACCCAGUUUUAUCAACAUUAUCAGGCUUCGCCACAUUGUCAUUAUAAUUUAUUAUUUCUUUUCUCAAGUUUGACUUUGCCAACUUUCAACCUAAAUCCUAUAGUUCUGAUGUAAUGAGAAUGUGAAAAAUUAAAUUUCAUUAAUCACAUUCACUUUCCCAGUGCAUCCUGUGCUUCGUCAGCUCAACCUCGUCAACUCUGGAAAACAAUCCUAUGUCAAAUGCUCAGUGCAGCAAACAGCAGAGUUCUUGGUGAAAAAAACAAACAAAAGCUUACACCACUAUUACAAUAAUUUGAAAGAUGAUGUAAUCACAUAAAAAAUAUUCACACCAUAACUUGAAUAUGCACUUUAAGAAACAAUUAUAUAUAUAUUCCUCUAUAUGGCCACCAGUGUAUUAACAUAUAAUUGGCAUUGGUUUUAUAUGCUAAAGGUAGCUAGCAUAGCUGCUACUGGUAGCUAAUUAGCAGACCUAACAUAGGGAUGUUUAUUGUUUCAAAUUACCCUUCUCAAACUCACAGAAAGUAGCCAUGGUCCAGUGUUUAUUGUAACGGUACACUCAAUAUUGUGUUUGCAUGAGAAAGCACAAAUGCUUGUUUUGACAAAUCCAACACAAAUGUUGAUAUACUAAAACAGAAGCCACGGUUGUUCUGUAUCUUCUUCUUGUUUAUGAACAAACUGUUGUCCGGCAGCAUGUAGCAGGAGGUCAGAUAUCAGACUCUUCACAGUAAAAUACAGGCUGUUCUGAGCCGAAAACAAAUUGGAACUUAUCCGUCUCGGACAAAAUGCCAUUUUCUCAGUCAGCGCUUGGACUAAAUGAAAUAUUUGUGCUUCUACAAAUACAAUUUACGUUCAGCUGACAUGAAAUUGACAGUUAUGAUAACAAAGUGUAUCUUAAGUUUGAAAUACAGAUGUAUUGUUUUUUAUUGUUUCGUGACUGACUGUGUACUGACGCACAAUCAGAUUUGAUUUUUUUUUUCAAACAAAUGGAAAAAAUCUCCACUAAAACGCCUAAACAUGCAAUCGACAUGAGAUGUGGACAUUUCCCUGUGUGCGUCUGCGCAUUCGUUUCCCAUCAGCUUUAAAUAAAGCAGACUUUGACUCAGAGAAAGGAGAAUGUUUGCUGUGUAGAAACAACCAGUUAAUCUGUCAAAGCAUCCACCAGCCACAGAGACUCUGUUUUUGACUGUAUUUAAAUAUUGCUUUCAUACAAGAUCCAGCCCAGCCUACGCUUUACCCCGAAUGUAUAUGAAAAGAUAUCUAUUGAUAGGCCUAGGACUAUAUUUUAUACUAGAAUAUUAAAUGUUAUAUACUCUAUAGAUCUGUAAUAGUAGGUAUGUGCAAUCCUUCGUCAUAGUAUAUGCAACAGUUUGGAAUAUGUAAUUAAAAACGAUUGUGUGUCAUUUCUUAAACCUUUUGUUUUUUUAAAGUGAGAAUCCACCUAAAAGCAGAAAUGUUCUGUAAACCUGAAAGGAUUAAUAUUGUUUAUGAAUUUGUUUCUCCCAAAACUAGAGACAAGACAACCUUCUUAUCAUGUGACACUUUUAUGGAGCUUUUAUGGAGUGGAAACUGUAUUUACAAGUAUAUUAUCGGUUUUGAAAUCAUCAGCGUUGCAAUAAAAUUAAUCUUGAUUUAAACACACAACCUCACAGUCUUUGAGUUUGCAUUCCGUUUAUAGUCAGUGGAACAAACGUGGAUGACCAUACAUACUGUACAUCUAAUCCAGUUUGUCACGUUUUCAUACUUUUUUUGCCAAUUGCAUAAAAAUGUGCAGGAAUUUCAUGUUCCUAAAUUGAACAAUCCAAUAUUAUAAUAAUAACGAAUUAGUUUUUUGGUGGAUUCUCUCUUUAUGUGCAGUAUGUACUUGUCAGUACAGAAGCACAGACAAACCAAAGGCAAUUCUAUGCCCAAACUGAUGUUUCUGGAUGUAAAUGUUUUAUGGGGGGAAAAAAAUAUUGCUAUAGUUCUUGGCCAGGUCUUAACCAGUUUUCUUCAUCAAGCCGUUACAGUUUACAGGCCCGUGUGGUCUACUGUACUCUACUGGGAUUUUACAUAUAAAAGUCUAUAGUAUACAGCAAAUACUUAAUAGGCCUUCUAUAUUGAGAGAAUAUCCCACAGAUCAGGUCUGUUGUAGAGAAAUAUCUUUGAAGAAGUGGAAUUUAAGUUUAAUAUGCACUGAUACAUCAUGCAAUCCAUUGUUAAGUGCCUUUUUAAAAUGUUAACCGUCUGUUUGUCUGGGAACCUCAGGGGAAGUAGGAGUGCAAUGGCUUUUUUUAUUGUCUAGUCAAUGAUUAACCUGAAUCUGUUUCCCUUCAAUCGCCAUCAGACGGCUUUUGCUUUUAUCCGAAGUCUUUGUAAAGUCAGCCGGCCGUUUAUUGUUUGGAUAUGGUCUCUCCUCGCAUCUCUCUCUACGUUGAGUUUCUUUUCAUUCAUGUGUCAUUUUUAGAUCUGUUGGUUUUAUUGUGGCUUCAUGUACAAAAUAGAAACCAGGAAUAAAUGAGAUGGAAAUUUGUA